GUGGAUUAGAUACCCUGGUAGUCCACGCAGUAAACGAUGAAUACUAGCUGUAUGCGAUAUACUGUAUGUGGCAAAGCGAAAGCGUUAAGUAUUCCACCUGGGGAGUACGUUCGCAAGAAUGAAACUCAAAGGAAUUGACGGGGGCCCGCACAAGCGGAGGAACAUGUGGUUUAAUUCGAUGAUACGCGAGGAACCUUACCCGGGCUUGAAAUGCAUCUGACCGAUCUGGAAACAGAUUUUCUAGCAAUAGCAGAUGUGUAGGUGCUGCAUGGUUGUCGUCAGCU
rnacentral:rRNA from 1 species